rnacentral:rRNA from 1 species
UACGGAGGGUGCAAGCGUUAUCCGGAUUCACUGGGUUAAGGGAGCGUAGGUGGCUUUGUAAGUUCAGUGGUUGAAAUGUACGCGGCUCAACCGCGAAAGCUGCCGAUUGAUGACUGCUUAGCUUUGAAUCACGGUCGAGGUGGAAUUGGAAUAUUACAUGGUAGGCGGAUUGAAAUGCUUAGAAUAGUGAUAAUACGAACGACCGAAGUUGGCGAAG